UCUCUUAUGAUGAAUUGCAUGCUCUGUCCGUGUUUCACCUGAACUACACUGAUUACAAACAUGCUCUGAGCAGAGA
ensembl:snoRNA